rnacentral:rRNA from 1 species
AUAACGACUCUCGGCAACGGAUAUCUCGGCUCUCGCAUCGAUGAAGAACGCAGCGAAAUGCGAUACCUGGUGUGAAUUGCAGAAUCCCGUGAAUCAUCGAGUCUUUGAACGCAAGUUGCGCCCGAGACCAUUAGGUUGAGGGCACGCCUGCCUGGGCGUCACG